rnacentral:misc_RNA from 1 species
GAUGAAGAACGUAGCGAAAUGCGAUAAGUAAUGUGAAUUGCAGAAUUCAGUGAAUCAUCGAAUCUUUGAACGCACAUUGCGCCCCCUGGUAUUCCGGGGGGCAUGCCUGUCCGAGCGUCAUUACAACCCUCAAGCUCAGCUUGGUGUUGGGCCCCGCCGCCCCGGCGGGCCCUAAAGUCAGUGGCGGUGCCGUCCGGCUCCGAGCGUAGUAAUUCUUCUCGCUCCGGAGGUCCGGUCGUGUGCUCGCCAGCAACCCCCAAUUUUUUUCAGGUUAACCUCGGAUCAGGUAGGGAUACCCGCUGAACUUAAGCAUAUCAAUAAGCGGAGGA